rnacentral:rRNA from 1 species
AUUGAACGCUGGCGGCAGGCUUAACACAUGCAAGUCGAGCGGAGCGAGGGUGCUUGCACCUUAGCUUAGCGGCGGACGGGUGAGUAAUGCUUAGGAAUCUGCCUAUUAGUGGGGGACAACAUUCCGAAAGGAAUGCUAAUACCGCAUACGCCCUAUGGGGGAAAGCAGGGGAUCUUCGGACCUUGCGCUAAUAGAUGAGCCUAAGUCGGAUUAGCUAGUUGGUGGGGUAAAGGCCUACCAAGGCGACGAUCUGUAGCGGGUCUGAGAGGAUGAUCCGCCACACUGGGACUGGGACACGGCCGAGACUCCUACGGGAGGCAGCAGUGGGGAAUAUUGGACAAGGGGCGGAAGCCUGAUCCAGCCAUGCCGCGUGUGUGAAGAAGGCCUUUUGGUUGUAAAGCACUUUAAGCGAGGAGGAGGCUAUUGAGACUAAUACUCUUGGAUAGUGGACGUUACUCGCAGAAUAAGCACCGGCUAACUCUGUGCCAGCCGCCGCAGUAAUAC